GAAAGAAGAUGAGAAAAAGAAUCCAAAUGAUCAGAUUGCAGAGCUUGUUAAAGCUUACAAGGCCUACAAUCCCUACCUGACACAAUACUACCGUGUGGUGACCGUUGAAGAGAACCCAAAUGCUUGUAUUGUACUCUGAACUGUUCUAUAUGAAUUGGUGAGUUCUUGAAGCCCGCUGGAAACAACCCAGAAGAGGGGUGGGGUUGCUUGCUUUGUAUAGUUGAUGCUGGUGGGUUGAUUGAAAA
rnacentral:misc_RNA from 1 species